rnacentral:lncRNA from 14 species
GCUCUGAGUCAUGUCUAGAGGUUAAUUAACAUGCCUUUCUUCUCUUAAGAGGGCCUUCUUGUCUGCUUAGAGUUGCUGGCUUUUUUCUGCUUCCUUUCAUAAUUACUUUGCAGCUCUCUAAUAUCAUGGGUACCUUUAAUUUAACCCUGCCACUGCUCAGGCUGCUGAGGCUUUGCACCGUGCUCAGCAUCAUGAUGGUUAUUUGAUGGAGUGGAAUAUAAUAAAAUACCCCUGACAUCUGGAGAUGUUGUAGUCAAACUGAGACCUUGCAAGAGAGGAGGAAAACUGAAGAGGGUCUGGCUGGAGCCAGGUGAGGAGAGAGGAUGGGGGUGGUGAUACUGCCCAGAGACCACAGGCGAUUUAUUAAUGAAGCUCUUACACUAACAAUUAAUGGGAAAGGAGGAUCCACUGUGGGAGGACUUGCAGCUGAGAGGGCUGGAAAGGGGCAUCCUGAGGGGUGCAAGCACUGCUGGGAGAAGAGAUGGCUCUUGGGAGGCCAACUGAUAGAGUUGGGUAAAACAGACAAGUGCCGUGCUGUGUGCAGGUGGCUGUGCCCUGCUGGCCCUCAGCUCGCUGCUGGCCAUCGUCGCUGUCCUGCUGCCUGGUGGAGCCUGUGAGAGGAGAGUCUGCACCCUGGCUGGCUACAUGCAGACAGCAGCAGUGUUCAUAAUGGCUUCUGGGCUUUUGGUUUACCCUUUUGGUUUCAACUCUGCUACUGUGAAGAGAUUCUGUGAGAAUUCAGACAUCUACUAUGCAGGAGACUGCCAGAUUGGAUGGGGGUAUAUGCUGGCAAUUGUUGGGGUCAUGUUGUCUGUCUUUUUACCAUUCUUUGCAAAAUAUGCACCAAAAGAGCACAUAUCUCCAACUCCAAUACCUACUAUUUUAUAGUAUUUUAUUACUGUUUAAGAACAGAACAUUCCUGUCUACAGGCAAUAGGCAGAAAUUCUUAUAGCACUUCCCUUUAGCUGCAUUGCUAAAGAGAAAAAAGGAGAUGGGGAAGAGAAGGUCAGAAUCACAAAGACCAAAAGUGCAUUGAUAGUCUUCCGUAAGCAUGAGCAGCGAACACUCUGGAAUUGAAGAUUAAUCAGCAGCCUUUAUACUGCUCUAAAUAUAUAGUGGCAUAAUGCCUUAGACAAAAACAAUCUGUUUAUCCUCAAUACAUCUGUCUACCUCCCAAGUUUCUUUUGUGUCUCAAACUUGUAAGUCUUCUAAAAGCUUCAGUUCACUUUUUAUAUAUUAUUGUCAAAACUUUUAUGAACCCAGUAAUUUUAAAGUCAGUAAUGAUAUUUUGUUACAAUUAUUUUGAUUAGUGAAAAAGCACCUGCUAGUAGCCAUGGCCUAAAAUUAAGCUGAAUAUCUAAAAGGAAUUGUAUACAAGAAAAUGAUUUCUUUUUAAUCUAUGUAUAUUACUAAAACCUGCAUAUUGCAAGUUGUCAGCACACUUUUUAAUACUUAGCUAAUAUUCAAGAUUUAGUCAUCUCCAUGAAGACUUGCAUAAAAUUUAGAUUACAUUUUUUCAGAGAGAAAGAGAUAUCUGAGUACUUCCAAAGCCUUCAUGAUAGUUUAAUAGUGAAAAAAUUUGUUUUCUGUAUUUCUUAAAUUAUCAUGUAGGUGAACUUUAAGAAAUUAUUUGAACAAUUAUAACUGGAGAUUUGGGGUUUUGUUGUAUGUUUCUUAAGGCUGAAAAGAAAAAUCUGUUUAUGAAAAUGCCCAAUGGCCAUUAUGUAAUGAAAAUACAAGCCAGAAUGAACUAGAUUCUAAUAUUUCCAUUUCUAUUAAGAGCCCAUUAUUGUAAAAAACAACCCCAAAAAUGAAAUGCUACUGAACAUGAUUAAUAAGAAUCUCAUGCUGUGUCAGAACCUGUAAAUGGCCAUAUUUCAUGAGUUUGUAUGUGAAUUUUGUGAAGUCUGAUUUUCACAAUAGCACUGAAUUCAUUACUAUCAAGCACUGAAAUAAGUGCACUUGAUUGCCUUAAGCAAAAGAAACAUUGGGUUCUAAUCUCACCCCACUGUUAGGUUUUUCAUUAAAAUUGAAUUCUAAUUCUAUGUUCAUCUUUAUUUUCUAUUAUUUAUUAAAAAAAUAAAUAAUCACAUAGAUUAUAUUUAAUUUAGAGC